UUGAUUGAAACCAAAGCAGAGGUGUAUCACUGUUAAUGAUAAAAUUGAAUUCCAAAUUCCUUUCAAG
rnacentral:tRNA from 1 species